CAUCUAGGAGUAUCUGAGAGUAGAUGAACUGAUGCACAUGCCUUUUCCUAAUGUGUAAGUGUACUUUUGACAAUGAAGAGUCAAUUCUUCCCUCUGGAUAUCCCUUGCCUGACAGCGCUGUGACAAGCAAAAUUUGGAGAGCUACAGGUUAGCUACCUCUGCCUUUAUGACAUGCUUUAUGAAAUGACAGUGAGGAGUCCACUCCGUGUUUUAGUACUUUUGCAUCUGUGCAGCACAAUCCUAUGUGUGUUUAUUUGGAAGAAGCUUCCACUGACAAAAUUAUACAUGGUAAAAUAAGGAUGACAAAUUUUGCUUAACAUGAAACUUUAUUUUGCAAUGAAAUUGGGGGGGGAAAUCCAUGAAAAGAAAAAGCUCUGCAUAACCAAGAAAGGUCACUAAUUAAGAGAAGAAUGGAAAAGGAAAAUCACUUAUUUAUUAUAUAAUGGGUGGGCUUUGGGGACCAGGUAAAACAAGUUAAUAAAAUGUUCAGUAAGUGUUGAGAGAGUUUAGAUGUAUUUGUUAUGCAGUUGAAUCAUUGUCAGAAAGUGUAUGUAUCUGAAUCUGUAUUUGAUUGGGAUGUGGUCAGAAGCUUAAAGGAUUUCCACAUAGGAGAUAAACAGAAAUCAUGAUCCUGUAGCAUCUUUUAAAAAAAUUGCAAUUCCUUGUUUGCUGCACUGGCUGCGCGUGAAACUUUUGCCACAUUUGUGCUGUGAUGGUGAUGGUGCCUUGUCAACAGUGCAGUGCCGUGUGUGGCUGGUGGAGUCUCUUAUGCUGAAAUGACCCUAGAAGGAUUGUGAGAAACGUCCUGAUUGUGGCUCGUGUUAUGUGGCUGUCAAAAGUGGUGUACUCUUGGUGCUAAAGCUCGAGGAUAAUGUGUUUCUUUGAGACGCAGCGUGUGCCUGAAGAGCAGCUGAUUGCAUUAUACAUGUAAACAUUUGCUGCAGGCCAUCUGAGAAGACGUAUGACUGGUUUAAUGGUUGCAUGCUGUUUAUAAAAAUUGUUAACUAAAUCCAGGCAGACAGCAGUGAUUAACAUUGGAAAGGGUCUGUCAUUUUUCCCAAGCUAAGUCCUUUGGCCUCUGUUGAUAUUCAGUGUUUAGAGAAAGCUGGAUCCGUGUGGCAAAAUGAAAUUACAGCUCCAUAUGUUCUUCUGCUGUAGGGUUAGUUAUGUGGGGGGAAAUUGCUUUAGUUUAUAUUUUAAUGUGAACCUAUCCAAUUUGCACUUGCUGAAACAAUAUGUGAGCCAAAACACAGCUAUCUUUCAAAACAAGCACCUCUCUGAAUUUUGCAUUGCAGUUCUCCAGCCAGAUAGUAUCUACAUAAAUGCAUGUAUUAGGGAGAAAUGCACAUUAAAAAGCAAUAUAUUAGGGGAUAUUCCUUGCAAAAAUGUGCAUACUAAAGACUUCUUUUUAAAAACCCACAAACUGAUGUAAAAAUGAUAUUCAGAGCGGAAUUAAAUUUCUGUUUAAAUUUCUACCCUGCCCUUCAUCCCAAAGGAGCCCAGAGCAGCAAACAUCAAAAUGUUAAAACAAUACAAUUACAGAUAAAAUAAAAGCGUAUUUAAAAACAUCUACAAACAUGUAAAAACUCUUUAAAAACAAUCACAUACCCUCAUACCUAAUUUCAAGGUUGCAGACAGCAGUGUCUUUCAGCCAUCAGAUACCUGAGUAGCCAGGAAACUUUCCCCCUCCCAAUUGCUCCUUAUGUUCAACAAUGAGGGGGACAGGCACAGCUGACCAGGGAUGGAGCCACCACAGAGAAGGCCCCAUCAUGGGUCAAUGCCAACUGAGCAGCAGUGACAGGUAGCACCACCAACAUGACGUAUCCUGCUGAUCAUAUGGCCUAAAAUGAUUGAUAUUGGGCGAAUUGUUCCAGUUACUUGGGUCCCAAGGUGAUUAGGGUUUUUUAUGCAAGUACCAUCAACUUUAAUUGGGCUUGGUAGUUCACUGGCAGCCAAUGCAGAGUUUUCAGGGCAUAUUGUCUCAUCAGGCUGCCCCCAUUAAACUUUAUAGUGAACUUCAUUAGUAAAAUUAUCUCAAAAUGGCUUACAUAAAGCACCACCAUGGUUAAUUAGCAAAAGCCAGCUAUCAAAAUAAAACAGAUAAUAAAUCUCACUCAGAAUCAUUAAAACCCAGUGGCAAAAUUUUGUCAAUGCUAUCAACAGGCUCAGAGUGGUUUGCAGCAGUUUAUCUAAGUACUAAUAGUUCUUGUUCCCUGUGGGGUGUUGCAGGAUAAAUGAGGUCAGUGAAAAUGGCAUUGGAUAAACAUUUUUAAAAACAACAACGACAGAGUUAACUGGGAUGGGUAAUUGUGUCUCUUGUGUUCUGCCCAGAAGGCAAGCAGAUCUUCACUCCUAGGCUCUGGGAGUGCAUCACAAACUGUCAGUGGCAACCAUUUUUGUAAAAUUCAGUUGCAGUUCCCAUCCAAUGUGAUGCACAAAGUAUUAAGGCUUUUAUGUGCUAUGGUGCUUUUGAUUAAAAAAUGUCCUUCUGACACAUUCUGCCCUUUUUAUUGCUUCCUAUUUAUUGCUGUGGGGUUAGUGAUAAGUUGUUCCUUAAUUUAAUUAGUCUGCUUCAGUACCUCAGGGGUGUGUGUGUUAAUGAUGGUUUUCCUGUCAUUAUUUUUCCUUUUCUUUCUGUUAUAGUGAAACAGCACCAUUUCACUAUGAAAGAAAACAUGGAAGUAAAGAAAAGAGCAAUUAAUUAUUAAAGUAAUAAAAGGGACAGAAGCUGCAAGGAGGAAACUACUAAACAACAUUGCGGGGACCUUUACUGAAUAAGACUUAGAAGGAUUCUUGACCCUAGAGAAGGGCAUUCCUGGGAAAUAGAACAUAUAGCAAGCGUUAUGUAUCAAAUCACCAUUUUAAUUUCACUUAUGUCUGAUUGUGGAAAAGCAGUGCCUUGACAGUCCUAAGGGCCGUAGUGUACAAGUAGCCAAUGUUUUCCUGGGAAGCAUCCUAGCAGUGUAAGGACAGAUCUUUUCUUCAUUGGUACUGCAUUAUAUAUAGCACUUGCCAAAUUUUAGCAACUGCUUGCAGAAUAAUGAACAUCUUAUUUUGAUUUAUUUUCUCUAGAUUUGGAAAAGCUUGUGUUAACGAGGGAAGCGGGAAAGAUUUUUUUGUAACAAGUUUUGCAAAGGAUGACCAGAAUGAUAAUGAACUAGAUUUUCAAGUGCUAAAGAUUAAUGCAAAGGGUCAGAUGAUGAGGACCUGCUUUCCUAAAUAAAAACCAAGCAAGAUAUCUUAUUACUAACCUCCUCUGCGUAAUCUGAUCCACUUUCCCUAAAGAUAAAGCUUUUAAUGCAUGAGAGGUACUUUGAAUCAUAGUGAUCGCUCCAGUGGGAUUAGCUCUGAGUCAACGGCAC
rnacentral:lncRNA from 1 species